rnacentral:rRNA from 1 species
AGCGAACGCUGGCGGCAGGCCUAACACAUGCCAGUCGAACGGAUCCUUCGGGAUUAGUGGCGGACGGGUGAGUAACACGUGGGAACGUGCCCUUUGGUUCGGAACAACUCAGGGAAACUUGAGCUAAUACCGGAUGUGCCCUUCGGGGGAAAGAUUUAUCGCCAUUGGAGCGGCCCGCGUCUGAUUAGCUAGUUGGUGAGGUAACGGCCCACCAAGGCGACGAUCAGUAGCUGGUCUGAGAGGAUGAUCAGCCACACUGGGACUGAGACACGGCCCAGACCCCUACGGGAGGCAGCAGUGGGGAAUCUUGCGCAAUGGGCGAAAGCCUGACGCAGCCAUGCCGCGUGAAUGAUGAAGGUCUUAGGAUUGUAAAAUUCUUUCAGCGGGGACGAUAAUGACGGUACCCGCAGAAGAAGCUCCGGCUAACUUCGUG